rnacentral:tRNA from 1 species
GGGCCUGUAGCUCAGUUGGUUAGAGCGUCCGCCUGAUAAGCGGGAGGUCGGUGGUUCGAGUCCACUCAGGCCCA